AGCGUACACGGUGGAUGCCCUGGCAGUCAGAGGCGAUGAAGGACGUGCUAAUCUGCGAAAAGCGCCGGUAAGGUGAUAUGAACCGUUAUAACCGGCGAUGUCCGAAUGGGGAAACCCGGUGCACUUCGGUGCAUCAUCGUUAGCUGAAUACAUAGGCUAACGAGGCGAACCGGGGGAACUGAAACAUCUAAGUACCCCGAGGAAAAGAAAUCAACCGAGAUUCCCCCAGUAGCGGCGAGCGAACGGGGAACAGCCCAGAGCCUGAAUCAGCUUGUGUGUCAGUGGAACGGUCUGGAAAGGCCGGCGAUACAGGGUGACAGCCCCGUACACGAAGGCACACAGGCUGUGAGCUCGAUGAGUAGGGCGGGACACGUGAUAUCCUGUCUGAAGAUGGGGGGACCAUCCUCCAAGGCUAAAUACUCCUGACUGACCGAUAGUGAACCAGUACCGUGAGGGAAAGGCGAAAAGAACCCCGGCGAGGGGAGUGAAACAGAACCUGAAACCGUGUACGUACAAGCAGUGGGAGCCUUCGUAAGAGGGUGACUGCGUACCUUUUGUAUAAUGGGUCAGCGACUUAUAUUCUGUAGCAAGGUUAACCGUAUAGGGGAGCCGAAGGGAAACCGAGUCUUAACCGGGCGUUAAGUUGCAGGGUAUAGACCCGAAACCCGGUGAUCUAGCCAUGGGCAGGUUGAAGGUUGGGUAACACUAACUGGAGGACCGAACCGACUAAUGUUGAAAAAUUAGCGGAUGACCUGUGGCUGGGGGUGAAAGGCCAAUCAAACCGGGAGAUAGCUGGUUCUCCCCGAAAGCUAUUUAGGUAGCGCCUCGUGAACUCAUCUCCGGGGGUAGAGCACUGUUUCGGCUAGGGGGCCAUCCCGGCUUACCAACCCGAUGCAAACUGCGAAUACCGGAGAAUGUUAUCACGGGAGACACACGGCGGGUGCUAACGUCCGUCGUGAAGAGGGAAACAACCCAGACCGCCAGCUAAGGUCCCAAAGUCAUGGUUAAGUGGGAAACGAUGUGGGAAGGCCCAGACAGCCAGGAUGUUGGCUUAGAAGCAGCCAUCAUUUAAAGAAAGCGUAAUAGCUCACUGGUCGAGUCGGCCUGCGCGGAAGAUGUAACGGGGCUAAACCAUGCACCGAAGCUGCGGCAGCGACGCUUAUGCGUUGUUGGGUAGGGGAGCGUUCUGUAAGCCUGUGAAGGUGUGCUGUGAGGCAUGCUGGAGGUAUCAGAAGUGCGAAUGCUGACAUAAGUAACGAUAAAGCGGGUGAAAAGCCCGCUCGCCGGAAGACCAAGGGUUCCUGUCCAACGUUAAUCGGGGCAGGGUGAGUCGACCCCUAAGGCGAGGCCGAAAGGCGUAGUCGAUGGGAAACAGGUUAAUAUUCCUGUACUUGGUGUUACUGCGAAGGGGGGACGGAGAAGGCUAUGUCGGCCGGGCGACGGUUGUCCCGGUUUAAGCGUGUAGGCUGACUUUCCAGGCAAAUCCGGAAAGUUAAGGCUGAGGCGUGAUGACGAGGCACCACGGUGCUGAAGUGACAAAUGCCCUGCUUCCAGGAAAAGCCUCUAAGCAUCAGGUAACAUCAAAUCGUACCCCAAACCGACACAGGUGGUCAGGUAGAGAAUACCAAGGCGCUUGAGAGAACUCGGGUGAAGGAACUAGGCAAAAUGGUGCCGUAACUUCGGGAGAAGGCACGCUGACAUGUAGGUGAAGCCCCUGCGGGUGGAGCUGAAGUCAGUCGAAGAUACCAGCUGGCUGCAACUGUUUAUUAAAAACACAGCACUGUGCAAACACGAAAGUGGACGUAUACGGUGUGACGCCUGCCCGGUGCCGGAAGGUUAAUUGAUGGGGUUAUCGCAAGAGAAGCUCCUGAUCGAAGCCCCGGUAAACGGCGGCCGUAACUAUAACGGUCCUAAGGUAGCGAAAUUCCUUGUCGGGUAAGUUCCGACCUGCACGAAUGGCGUAAUGAUGGCCAGGCUGUCUCCACCCGAGACUCAGUGAAAUUGAACUCGCUGUGAAGAUGCAGUGUACCCGCGGCAAGACGGAAAGACCCCGUGAACCUUUACUACAGCUUGACACUGAACAUUGAGCCUUGAUGUGUAGGAUAGGUGGGAGGCUUUGAAGCGUGGACGCCAGUCUGCGUGGAGCCAACCUUGAAAUACCACCCUUUAAUGUUUGAUGUUCUAACCUGGCGCCGUAAUCCGGCGUGGGGACAGUGUCUGGUGGGUAGUUUGACUGGGGCGGUCUCCUCCCAAAGUGUAACGGAGGAGCACGAAGGUCAGCUAAUCCUGGUCGGACAUCAGGAGGUUAGUGCAAUGGCAUAAGCUGGCUUGACUGCGAGAGUGACGGCUCGAGCAGGUGCGAAAGCAGGUCAUAGUGAUCCGGUGGUUCUGUAUGGAAGGGCCAUCGCUCAACGGAUAAAAGGUACUCCGGGGAUAACAGGCUGAUACCGCCCAAGAGUUCAUAUCGACGGCGGUGUUUGGCACCUCGAUGUCGGCUCAUCACAUCCUGGGGCUGAAGUAGGUCCCAAGGGUAUGGCUGUUCGCCAUUUAAAGUGGUACGCGAGCUGGGUUUAGAACGUCGUGAGACAGUUCGGUCCCUAUCUGCCGUGGGCGCUGGAGAAUUGAGGGGGGCUGCUCCCAGUACGAGAGGACCGGAGUGGACGCAUCACUGGUGUUCGGGUUGUCAUGCCAAUGGCACUGCCCGGUAGCUAAAUGCGGAAGAGAUAAGUGCUGAAAGCAUCUAAGCACGAAACUUGCCCCGAGAUGAGUUCU
rnacentral:rRNA from 1 species